rnacentral:rRNA from 1 species
UACAGGGGGGGCAAGCGUUGUUCGGAAUUAUUGGGCGUAAAGGGCGCGUAGGCGGCUCGGCACGUCCGUUGUGAAAUCGCCCGGCUCAACUGGGCGGGGUCAGCGGAUACGGUCGAGCUUGAGCAAGCUAGGGGGCAAUGGGAUUCCCGGUGUAGUGGUGGAAUGCGUAGAUAUCAGGAGGAACACCGGUGGCGAAGGCGGGAUCCUGGGCCAGUACUGACGCUGAGGAGCGAAAGCGUGGGGAGCAAACAGG